rnacentral:rRNA from 1 species
AACGUAGGUACCGAGCGUUAUCCGGAUUUACUGGGCGUAAAGCGCGUGCAGGCGGCCUUGCAAGUCGGACGUGAAAUCCCACGGCUCAACCGUGGAAGUGCAUUCGAAACUGCGAGGCUGGAGUCCUGGAGAGGAAAGUGGAAUACUCGGUGUAGAGGUGAAAUUCGUAGAUAUCGAAGUGGAACACCGGUGGCGAAGGCGGCUUUCUGGACAGGUACUGACGCUGAGACGCGAAAGCGUGGGGAGCAAACAGG